rnacentral:rRNA from 1 species
ACUCCUACGGGAGGCAGCAGUGGGGAAUAUUGCACAAUGGGCGCAAGCCUGAUGCAGCCAUGCCGCGUGUAUGAAGAAGGCCUUCGGGUUGUAAAGUACUUUCAGCAGUGAGGAAGGUGGUAGUGUUAAUAGCACUAUCAUUUGACGUUAGCUGCAGAAGAAGCACCGGCUAACUCCGUGCCAGCAGCCGCGGUAAUACGGAGGGUGCGAGCGUUAAUCGGAAUUACUGGGCGUAAAGCGCAUGCAGGUGGUUUGUUAAGUCAGAUGUGAAAGCCCGGGGCUCAACCUCGGAAUUGCAUUUGAAACUGGCAGACUAGAGUACUGUAGAGGGGGGUAGAAUUUCAGGUGUAGCGGUGAAAUGCGUAGAGAUCUGAAGGAAUACCGGUGGCGAAGGCGGCCCCCUGGACAGAUACUGACACUCAGAUGCGAAAGCGUGGGGAGCAAACAGGAUUAGAUACCCUGGUAGGAAAGCG